ACAUGGAAUACAAGGCCAUGGAUGACAGUAUAAUAAAAGAAGAAUUUCUAUGAGAAACGACAAUUGUAUUUUAAGUGGUUUAAGCUGUAAAGUAGUGGCAUCAAAGCUGGGAGCUGUAUUCCAAUCAAAUGCGGUUGUUGUGGUUAUUGAACCAGAGCCAGUAGGCGCAGUCACUGAAGUCGAACCGAAAGAGAUGCAGCAAUCAUCUGAGAAGAGGCAAAGGUAGUUCGGCGAGAGAUUGGUAGCUUGACAUACAAUACAAAUACAAAGAAGCGAAGAAAUAAUUAAAAGAGGUAAACUAAAUUACCUUACUCAUAUU